ACAGGUGGGCGGGCAGAAGGAGGGGCGGAAGGAAGGAAGGAAGACUGGCUACCUCUGGGUAGCAGAAAGAUGUGAUGUCUUCUUUCCUUUUGCAGCACAGGCUAGUCAUGCUCCUGCCUCAGCCUCCUGAGUACCAGCAGAAUGGAGGGCUUGUCAUCUGUUUUUUUUUAUGUUCCGUGUAUUAUACCGAGGUCCCCUGGGUGAGGGGGAUGGGCACCGAGGCCGAUCCCUCCUGACCACCCUGGAGGCCUCGCUGUGUGUGCUGCGUGGACAGCGUUCUGUAUAUAUGUCUGAGGGAUGAACUGAUUGGCUCCUUCUUAUUUUACCCUCCGGGGAGAUAUCCCAGGUUCUCCUGGUGAAGCUCCGUGACGAUGAGGUGCACGGUGAUUUCACACAGCUGAUGGGAUAUGGCGGGGUACAUCCAUGCCUCCUUGUCCAUGCUUAGUGGUGGGACUCAAACCUACGUCUCAUUGCCUCUUAGGCACUUAACCACUGAAGUACACCUGCCAGUCAACGUCCGAAUCUGUUAACUUAGAGACAGGAAAUCGAGUAUCCCAGGUUGACACGAACCUUGUUAUGAGGUGUGUGCUGUGCUGUGGAUGGAAUCGUAUUGAACCAGUUCCCCAACCACUGAGCUGCAUCUCCGUGGAUAACUUCAGCGGACACAGCCCCUGCUCUUCCGCAGAAGACCUGAAGAAGCAGCCACAAGUUCAGAGUUCAGGAGAAAAGCAUGUGCUGAGCCCCUGAGACUUGGUGGGGGGGGGGGUGUUUGUUACUAGGACGAGAUGCAGAUUCUUCUGACUGAUACAUGCCUUUUUCUGUGCGGCCAGACCAUUUUGCUUUAAGAUCGCUUCAUCUGUGGUGUGUGCAGGUACAUGGGUUUCACGACGCACAUGGGGAGGUCAGAGCGUAGCUCGGUUCCUCCAGUUCACGCACGUGCCCGAAUGCCGAGCGGUCGGUCUUGCUGGCCCCGGAUUAUCAAUUUACAAACCCAGACCAUGACGACUCUCUGUGCCCUCUGCGACAUAAGGGAGUGCAGCUUGGUCGGUCACAUUCCCAAAGCUUCAGAAACAACCGGUCCAACAGAGGUGUCAGAUCAAAGCCAGCUGGACAUGGGGACGUCCUAGCCUUGGGUCCCUGGUGGCGAUGCUCAAAACUGGGGAUCAGCUUGCUGAGUCCUAUAGCCCAGAGCUCAGUUCCUCUGCAAGGAACUACAGGAGAGAAGAGGAGGCCUCAGAGGGCAUGUCCUAGUGUGAUUCCAAUUGCUGGGAUGGCCGCCACGACCCCGAGCAGUUUGGGGAGUGAAGGGUUUACUUGGCUUUUACUUCCGGGUCACAGGUUCACCUCUGAGGGAAGUAGGAGAGGAAGGGCAGGCCCAGUGCCAGGCGCCUUUCUUAGAACCCCAGACCCAUCUGUCUGGGAAUGUGGCUGGGCCCUCCCACCCGAUUAGCAAUCAAGAAGAAAACCCCGCCCACCCGCAGGCGGCUUCCUCUUCUCCGGUGUGCAGACUUGAAAGCCAAGAUAGGCUCUCAGAGGUAAUGUCUGGAUCUUCUGUUUAAAUUGCGCGCGGAUGCGGAUGCGGAUGCGUGCUAAGCUUGAGUGUCUGUGAAAGAGGGUUCACAGGCUUGGAGGCAGAGGCCAUUGUGGGAUGCUGGGUGUGUCCGCCUCUCACCUCGUGCCUUGAUGCCUCCAGGCAGGGUCCCUCACUGAACCAGAAGUUCUCUGCCCAGCCAGCUCCAGCAGUCACCUGGUUCAUCCUUCACAACCUCUGAGGUCUCGUGCAUCCACGCCAGGAUUCUUACCUGGGUGUUGGCGUCCAGAACCAGACCUUCUUGUACAGCAGGCACAGCAAGUGAUCUUAACCACUGAGUAGCUCCCCAGCCCCUGGACCCGGGUUGGAAUGGGCUAUCCCCAAUACCAGCUAGAAAGCUAGAAAGACUAUCUCUGAUUUUUUUUUUUUUUUUUUGGCAGCCCCAGAAACAAGGCAAGGUGAAGACCGUUUUAUUGUCCAGGUAAGAAAAUGUGAGCCCAGAGAGGGAAGACCAACCGCCUAAGGUCACACAGCAGGAUGAGAGUGUGAUUCUGGGGGGUGGUAUUCAGAUCUUAUAUGCCCUUCUCCCAAUCCUAAACUCUAACAUGGACAGCCAAGGCUCUCGGUGUGGACAGCAGCCUUCUGCAGGGGGUGAACUGGGGCCAUCGAGGCCAUUCAGCUUCUCCUGGGACCUGAGCAGAAAGAAGGAAGAGGAGAGACCUGGAAAAGCCAAGCUCCCAGCUGGAGGAAGAAUGAGUUGGCGUGUUCCGUGGACGGCUGCUAUUCUGCCCCAAGAAUAAAUGGCAGAUACACACAACGGUGUCACAGACGUGAUGCUGAAAAGAAGCUAGAGAGGAAGAAAGCCGUCCUGUGGAGCCAUUCAUGCAAUCUCAAAGCCGGCUUGCCGAAGGAGUUCAGGGGCAAUGCUGGCAGAAUGGCACAUGUCAGGCCAUCGAGGACCCAUCGAGGACCUGGCGGCUUUCCUAAGGAAAGGGGGUUUUCUCAGCAAGAUGGGAAGCGCCCCCCCCCCCGUGUCUAUCAAGGUGAAUAUCCCAGAGGGUUGUUGGAAUAUGUCCCCUGACUGCUGUGGGCUCCUCAGAGGACAAGCAGACAGCGCCGAGAGGGGGCUGUGUGUGAGGAGGGGAGAGGACGAGGAGGGGGCCAGGCUUUGAUUCCCAAAGAGCUUAGGGGGUUUACAGUUUGUGUCCCUUAAAUUCAUUCGCUUGUUUUGGCAGGGUCUCUCUUUGUAGUC
rnacentral:sRNA from 1 species